UACGUAGGGGGCAAGCGUUGUCCGGAAUUAUUGGGCGUAAAGCGCACGCAGGCGGUCCUUUAAGUCUGAUGUGAAAGUUCACGGCUUAACCGUGAAAGGUCAUUGGAAACUGGAGGGCUUGAGUACAGAAGAGGAGAGUGGAAUUCCAUGUGUAGUGGUGAAAUACGUAGAGAUAUGGAGGAACACCAGUGGCGAAGGCGGCUCUCUGGUCUGUUACUGACGCUGAGGUGCGAAAGCGUGGAUAGCGAACAGG
rnacentral:rRNA from 1 species